CUUAUGUACACGAACCAUAGUUAAGAAUCUUAAGAACAGGGGUGCAGGUUAUGUGAUGGCCACACCUGUAUUCCCUGGUAAACCUCCUGUUUACCUGUCGUGGUGCUAUGGGACUGGGACUGGGAUGGGAUGGGAUGGGGGCAAUUCUGCAUUAUAGAACAGUUUUAAUCUCGUACAGACAUCAGUGAUGAAUCAUGCCUUAAAGCAUUCAGAGCGGCCUCAAGGUCUGACAGAAAGGAGAGGAGAGACAGUGGGGUAGAAAUCAAAUGAAAAGAACAGGUUCUUUUGGGCCUGUGGUUCUCCUUGCUCUGUGAUUUGGACUGAUGAGUGCUCCCACAGCUGGGGUGGAUAAGUUGGGCAGAUGUUUUUUUUUUUUUCAGACACAAAGCUGGACAGAACCCAAGAUAGGCAAUGGUGCUAAAAAUGGUCUUGUGUUCUCAUUAACACACAUUGAAAUACUUCUUGGAAGAGCAUUAUAUUAAAAUAAGAUUUUAACUCAUCAUUUAUUUGUAUUAUUGGAAUAUUUAGACCUGCAAAGCACACCAUGUACAUUUUUUGUCUUUUUUUUGUCUUUAUUUCUUUUUGAACAUUUAACAUUUAAAUCCAUCCAGUGGGUGCAUGAUGCAUUGACAGCACGGUUUCACCACACCGCCGUGACAGUAGCACAGUCCGUGAGCUGUGAUUGGAUGGCAGCAGAGUCUACGAGCUGUGAUUGGACAACAGCAGAGUCCGUGAGCUCGGAUUGGAUGCCAGCAGGGGCAGUGGGCCAAAGCUCCGUCUCCAGGUGUGCCACACAGAUAGCAUCCAUUCCAAGAAAGAAAGAAAGAAAGAAAGAAAGCUGGAUGGCACAAUCAUGUUUUUUUUUCUUCUUUCAAACAGUUCAUUUUCCCUUUUUCUCCUCUUCUCUCGUCUGAAGUAAAGGCUUUCUCGAGCAUUCCUUUGUGUAGAGCUGACUCUGCUCCCAUGGUUAAAGGAAAACAAGAGUAACAUCCAUGGGAGGAUGAAGGUGCAGGGGGGAGGGGGGGGCAGGUGUCAGUAUUGCUACAGCAGUACCUUUCUUGUGCUCGGGCGUGAGUGCCCAUCCCCCCCUGCUCCGGGCUCCGGCGCUGCGGACCUGAGCGGCGCUGGGCGGAUGUCGGCGCGGGCCGAUGUAGCUCCGGCCUGGUGGUGCUCAUCAGGCUGCAGGUUGGAGUAGCCCCUCUCACUCAGCCUGCAAGAGACAGCGCAGGAGAAGUCAUUAAAGAACUCAAAACUCAAACUCAAAUGGACUCAACUACAGUGGCUUGCAUUACCAUUAUCUUUCUUUUUUUUUACAAAAGACUUCCCAAUCAGUAUUGUCAUUGUGAACACUUAUACUGUAGUAUACUGUACUGCUAAAGGCUAAAGUUGUUUGUCUACUUUAAUUAAAAAGAAAGUUGAAAACUAAAAUAUUCUGCUUGCAUAUGUAUUCAAC
ensembl:lncRNA